GCUGGUGUAGCUCAAUUGGUAGAGCGUCUGAUUUGUAAUCAGAAGGCUGCGGGUUCAAGUCCCUUUACCAGCU
rnacentral:tRNA from 1 species